rnacentral:rRNA from 1 species
UGAGUUUGAUCCUGGCUCAGGAUGAACGCUAGUAGUAUGCUUAACACAUGCAAGUUUAACGAAAAAUUUAUUUUUCGUAGCGAACGGGUGAGUAUAUGCAGAAUUUUUCCUUUUAGUUCAGCACAAAAAUUUCUUUUUAGAAAUCAAAUUCUGAAUAUUGGUAAAGGUUUACUUUUCGAAGUAUUCCGCUAAAAGAUAAAUCUGUUAAAGAUUAGGUUGUUGGUAAUUUAAAAGCUUACCAAGCCUAUGAUCUUUAGUUGGUCUUAGAGGAUGAUCAACCACACUGGAACUGAAAUAUGGUCCAGGCCGUAUAUGGCCAGCAGUGAGGAAUAUUGGACAAUGAACGAAAGUUUGAUCCAGCAAUGUUAUAUGAUUGAUGACGGCUUUUCAAAGUUGUAAAACUCUGUCACCUAAAAGGAUAAAUGACAUUUUAGGUAAAUAGUCCCGGCUAAUACUCGUGCCAGCAGCCGCGGUAAUACGGGAGGGGCAAGCGUUAUCCGAAAUAACUGGGCGUAAAGGGUCCGUAGAUUGUGUUGUAAGUUACUUCAAAAAUACUAGAGGCCUAACCUCAGUCUGAAGUUAAUACUACUCCACUCGAGUUGAUAACAGAAGAAUAGAACUCUGUAAGAAGAGAUAAAAUUCGCAGAUAAACAGAAGAACAUCUAUUUGGCGUAAGCAAUUCUUUAGUAACAACUGACGUUGAGGGACGAAAGUGUAGGUAGCAAACAGGAUUAGAUACCCUGGUAGUCUACACCGUAAAUGCUGAGUGCUCAAACUUAAAUUUUUAGGUUUCAAGCUAACGCGUUAAGCACUCCGCCUGAGGAGUACGAUCGCAGGAUUGGAACUCAAAGGAAUUGACGGGGGCCUACCACAAGUGGUGGAGCAUGUGGUUUAAUGCGAUAAUCCGCGCAAAACCUUACCAACCCUUGACAUAUUGAAAAAAAAGAUUGAAUUAACACAAUUUUUUCACUGUUAAUUAAAAAAUUAAGUAAUUUUCUCUACAGGUGUUGCACGACUGUCGUCAGCUCGUGUCGUGAGAUGUUUGGUUCAUUCCUUUAAACGAGCGUAACUCUUGUUUUUAAAAAUUUACUUCUAAUUUUUAAUUUACAUUAAAAAUUUUGUUUUAAAAAGACUGUUUGUUAAUUAAAACUUUAAAGGAAGGUGAGAAUUAAGUCAAGUCACUGUGGCCCUUAUGGGUUGGGCUACACACGUGCUACAAUGAAAAUGACAAAAAGUAACAAAAAUAAAAAUUUUUAGUUAAUCUUUAAAAAUUUUCUUAGUGCGGAUUGUAAACUGCAACUCGUUUACAUGAAGAUGGAAUCACAAGUAAGCGCAAAUCAGAACGUUGCGGUGAAUACGUACCUUGGCUUUGUACACAC